rnacentral:tRNA from 1 species
GUAGAUAGAGCUCAGUGGUGGGGUACACGCUUAGCAUGCAUGAGGUCCUGGGUUCAAUCCCCAGCACCUCCA